CCUACGGGAGGCAGCAGUGGGGAAUAUUGGACAAUGGGCGAAAGCCUGAUCCAGCAAUUCCGCGUGUGUGAAGAAGGCCUUCGGGUUGUAAAGCACUUUAGUGGGGGAAGAAACAGCUUGGCCACACCAAGCCUUGACGGUACCCCAAGAAUAAGCACCGGCUAACUCUGUGCCAGCAGCCGCGGUAAUACAGAGGGUGCAAGCGUUAAUCGGAUUUACUGGGCGUAAAGGGUGCGUAGGUGGCUAUUUAAGUCGGAUGUGAAAGCCCGGGGCUCAACCUCGGAAUUGCAUUCGAUACUGAGUGGCUAGAGUUCGGUAGAGGGCGGCGGAAUUUCCGGUGUAGCGGUGAAAUGCGUAGAUAUCGGAAGGAACAUCAAUGGCGAAGGCAGCCGCCUGGGCCUGGACUGACACUGAGGCACGAAAGCGUGGGUAGCAAACAGGAUUAGAUACCCUGGUAGUCCACGCCGUAAACGAUGAGAACUUGACGUUGGUUCGUUUUACGAAUCGGUGUCGCAGCUAACGCGAUAAGUUCUCCGCCUGGGGAGUACGGCCGCAAGGUUGAAACUCAAAGGAAUUGACGGCUUGAGAGNGCGAGCGACGACGAGGAGAGG
rnacentral:rRNA from 1 species